rnacentral:rRNA from 1 species
AAGCUCGUAGUUGAAUUUCGGGAUCAAUGUUUCGGUCAUGCCGUUGGUAUGUACUGAUAUUAUUGACUUCUCACCUUCAAAAGAACCGUAAUGCCAUUAAUUUGGUGUCACGGGGAAUUAGGACUGUUACCUUGAAAAAAUUAGAGUGUUUAAAGCAGGCUCACGCUUGAAUACAUUAGCAUGGAAUAAUGAAAUAGGACAUCCGAUUCUAUUUUGUUGGUUUCUAGGAUCGAUGUAAUGAUUAAUAGGGAUAGUUGGG